AACCAAUUGAUUAACUAAACCUAAAUCUAAACCUAAUAGACGCUUCAGCCACCAUCGCCAUCUUCACAAAGCUUCAGCCAUCAUCGCCACCUUCACAAAGCUUCAGCCACCGUCCACGAACCAGCAACAAGCUACCGGCUUUGCACCGCUGCCGCACCACGCUUAACCGGAGAUGCCGCUCUGUCACACCAAUACUUCUCCAUUCUGUGACCUGUGGUGUUGGUGAUGAGCGUGACGGUGGUGAAGAACGCGACGAAAUCAAAAGAGCGUGGUGGUGACGAACAUGAAGGCCGGCGGUGGUGGUGGUGAAAAGGAGAUGAAAUUAAAAGAAAAUUUUGAUAGAGAUAGAGAGAGAUGUGCAGAGACAUGAGUGAACCAAAGAGAUAAAGAGAAAAGAAAGAAGAAGAAGUGAGCAGAUUCGUGAGUGAAGAGAGUGAAUGUCGUAGACGAAGAAAAUAGAGAGGAAAGAGAAAGAGAAAGAUAAAGAGGGAUUAGAUUUGGUCUGUUGGAUUAAUCUAAUCCAAUGGUGGAGGUUGUGAUCUGAGUACUUUGAUAUCAUUGGUCCAUGACAAUUUUCUUUGUUAAUUGAUUUUUUAUCUUUGGUAAAGUUAUAUAAAAUUUUGAUUUACAGUUCUAUUUAAUUUAUAUGUUAGAUAAUGUAAAAUUUAUAUAUCAAGCUUUUGAAUUUUUCUAAUAUGAAAAUUAAAAUAUUAAAAUUAAAACUUUAAAGUUAUGUUUAUGAUAGAGGGUUUAAAAUUCGGAGGAUGGGAUUUAUAGUUUAAAAUAAAAAGAAAAAUUUUGAGUUUAAAUUUAAGAUAUGAGGUUAAAGUAUGAAAUAUUAGGGUUAAAUUUAAGAUAUGAGGUUAAAGUUUGGAUAUAAGAUUAAAUUUUGAGUUUAAAUUUAGGAUAUGAGGUUAAAGUUUGGAUAUAGUGUAUGAAUUUAAGGUUUUUUGAAAAGUUUGAAAAAUUAUAAAUUUAAUAAAGGUUUGAAGCUUUAAUAUUUUGUUACUUUUGUAAGUAAGAGUUAGAAAAUAAUUUGGGUUAGAAGCUUAGAUAUUAGGUUUGAAAUAUAAAAUAAACUUAGUGUUUUAUGAUAUAAGUUAUAUAAAUAAAGUUUAGUGUUUUAAAACAAAGUUUAGUAUUCUAUGAUAUAAAGUUUGAAGUUUAUAUUUAGAGUAUUGAAUGUAUAAUUUAUGUUUGAAGUUAGGAUUUAGGAUAUAAAGUUUGAUUAAAGAGUAAAGAUUUGUGUUAGAAAAUUAUAGUUUAAGAUUAAGAAGAUUAAAUUUUGAAGUUAUAAUAUGAAAAUAUUAGAGUUUUAAAGGUUGUUUUUAGAGUUUAGGGUUUAAAACCAUGUUUCGGGUUUAGGGGAUCAAAUAGCUUUUCUUAGCGUUAGAAAAAUGCUAUAAUAUUUUUCUGAUAGUAUUACUGAAACUGCUUAAAUAAUGUUUCGGCGCUUAAGUAUAAUUUUCUGCUAAUUAUUGGCGGAAUCAGUAAUUUUAACUUCCCGCUCACUUAAUUUUUAAAAUAGCACUAACUAAGCGCUAUUUUACAUUUCACUCUAUAACAACGUUUAUCUAAUGCUAUUAUAUAGUACGAUAAUUUUUUGCUCAUCUACAAUAACAGUUCAGUAAAACGUGCUAUAACAAUGUGCUAUUAAUGGAGACUUUUUUUGUAGUGAUAUGACCGGUCAUGCUCUUUCCGUCAUCGUCAUCAACAUUAUGAGAGCUAUCACGAAAUCCCAUCAGCUCUUGCUUUGAUGCUCUCUUGAAGUGUAAGCCGUAUGAAGUAUUACCACGCAAGUAACGAAAGACUUGCUUUAGGGCCGCUUCGUGUGUUUCCUUAGGUUCACACAUAUAUCUACAGAGUAAGCCAAUACUAAAUGAUAGAUCAGGCCGUGUGUGUAGUAGAUAUCGAAGGCAGCCAAUGCUAUGUCUGUACUCUCUCUCGUCAAUGUUAGUCUCGUGAGGUGACUUGGAGAGUCUUAUAUUCACGUCCAUAGGUAUGUGAACGAGAUUGCAUCUAUGCAUACCAGCUUCUUCAAGAAUCUUUUGUGCAUAUAUGUCUUGUGUCAGCACUAUGCCAUUGUCGGUUUGUCGUACUUCAAUACCAAGAUAAUAAGUUAGUUUGCCAAGAUCGCUCAUCUCAAACCUUCGAGCCAUGUCAAGUUUAAACUCAACGACCAACCCCAUGGAUGAACCUGUGACUAGUAGAUCAUCGACAUACACACAAACAAUCAGUAGAUCACCCUUUACCUCCUUUCUAUAGAGCGAUGGCUCUUUGGAACAUCGAGUGAAACUAAGAUCUUUCAGAAUCGAGUUCAGCUUAAUGUUCCAGGCCCUAGGUGCCUGUCUUAAACCGUAGAGAGCUUUAUGUAGCCUGUAGACUUUCUCUUCUUUGCCUUUGACUACGAACCCUUCAGGUUGAGUCACAUAGACUUCCUCUCAGCUCCCUGUGUAAGAAUGUUGUCUUGACAUCAAGAUGGUGAAUUUCCCAUCCCUUUGAAGCUGCAAUAGCAAUGACUAAUCUGAUAGUUUCUACACGAGCUACAGGUGUAUUGCUAAAGAUUUGAUUGAUUAAUAAGAGAAGGACUUUUUGUUAAAGAGUUUGUGGUUCAACAAUUGGUAUUAGAGCGCGGUUGACGAGAAAUCUGCAAGAAAGAUCGAAAUACCCUUUGAAUGAUGAAUGAGUGAUGAAUGGGUAUCCUAUGAGUUAGGAAUGGGAGGUGUGUGUGGCAGAGAUCAAGUCAAAAGAUCAUGGAAGUCAGUUGUGGGACACGAGAUGAAUGUGAUCCUUAGUUUGAAGGGGAGAAUGUGAGAUAACAAUCUAAGUCCCACAUUGGAGAAUUAGACAAGGAGUGUCUAAUAUAUAAAGAGAUGUCCAACUCUAAUAGUACAAGGCCUUUUGGGAAGGAAACCAAAAGUAAAUUCAUGCGGGCCAGCCUCUAAAGCCCAAAAUGGACAAUAUCGUACUAAUCGGACAAUAUAGAGUUGGACACGUGGUUUCACAAUCCCAACAUAUAUCAUAUCAUUUUAUUCCAAAAUGAAUAACCAUGUUAGUCUAAGUCAAAGUCAAAACAAAUUGUCUGAGUCAACAAUAGAUAUCGCCGAGCGUAGGAUACACAGAGACGUAUGCGAAGUCAAAUAUAUAAAAGGAAACUAACCAUAAAUCAAAGCAAAAAUUCUGUGUUAGUACAUUUUGCCGAGUAUAGUGUACACAUAGAGAAGAUUAUAUAUAUAUGUGUGUGUGUUAAAAUACAAACUAUUCAGUUUCAUAAGCAAAAUCGAGGAGAAGAAGAAAAAACGCAAUACAAAUUGCAACAAAAUAAUUUAAUGGCUUCAUCAAAGACAUGUUUUUUCCUUGUGUUCUUAUGUCUCGUUGUUCUCUUGAUCCCAAAAUCUGCACAAGCGGAAGAUGGCGGAAGUCAUUUGGAAAUUGUGCAAGGUCCCUGCUCGAAAUUUCCAGACUGCAAUCAACAAUGCACUGACUUAAGAUAUCCAGGUGGAGGAAAAUGCAUCAAAGUGGGUCGAUAUGUCACUUAUUUGAUGUGUGCCUGUUUUGCAUAAUCUUAUAUGAUAAUAAAAUAAUAUGUUUAAGAUAUUGAGCGAGUGGUAAAAUAUUAAUAAAAAUGUUACAAAUA